CAUGUAGGCGGCAUGACAAGUCUGGUGUGAAAUAUCUCGGCUCAACCGAGAAAACGCACUGGAAACUGUCAAGCUUGAGUAUGGGAGGGGAAGCUAGAAUUCCUGGUGUAGGGGUGAAAUCUGUAGAUAUCAGGAAGAAUACCGGUGGCGAAGGCGAGCUUCUGGCCAGAUACUGACGCUGAGAUGCGAAAGCGUGGGGAGCGAACAGGAUUAGAUACCCUGGUAGUCC
rnacentral:rRNA from 1 species